rnacentral:rRNA from 1 species
GAUGAACGCUGGCGGCGUGCCUAAUACAUGCAAGUCGAGCGAACGGACGAGAAGCUUGCUUCUCUGAUGUUAGCGGCGGACGGGUGAGUAACACGUGGAUAACCUACCUAUAAGACUGGGAUAACUUCGGGAAACCGGAGCUAAUACCGGAUAAUAGUUUGAACCGCAUGGUUCAAAAGUGAAAGACGGUCUUGCUGUCACUUAUAGAUGGACCCGCGCUGCAUUAGCUAGUUGGUAAGGUAACGGCUUACCAAGGCAACGAUGCAUAGCCGACCUGAGAGGGUGAUCGGCCACACUGGAACUGAGAAACGGUCCAGACUCCUACGGGAGGCAGCAGUAGGGAAUCUUCAGCAAUGGGCGAAAGCCUGACGGAGCAACGCGGCGUGAGUGAUGAAGGUCUUCGGAUCGUAAAACUCUGUUAUUAGGGAAGAACAUAUGUGUAAGUAACUGUGCAAAUCUUGACGGUACCUAAUCAGAAAGCCACGGCUAACUACGU